UACGUGAGGGGCGAACGUUUGUUCGGUGUCACUGGGCUUAAAGGGCGCGUAGGUGGCUGCGUAAGUAAGGUGUGAAAGCCCUCGGCUUACCCGGGGAAUUGCGCCUUAUACUGCGUGGCUUGAGGAUUUCAGGGGAAGGGGGAACUCCAGGUGUAGCGGUGAAAUGCGCAGAUAUCUGGGGGAAGGCCGGCGGCGAAGGCGCCCUUCUGGGAAAUUCCUGACACUGAGGCGCGAAAGCGUGGGGAGCAAACAGG
rnacentral:rRNA from 1 species